AUACGUAGGGGGCGAGCGUUGUCCGGAAUGACUGGGCGUAAAGGGCGUGUAGGCGGUUGAAUAAGUCUGGAGUGAAAGGCCCGGUUUCAAGUUGGGAACUGCUUUGGAUACUGUUCAACUUGAGUGCGGAAGAGGUAAGUGGAAUUCCCAGUGUAGCGGUGAAAUGGGUAGAGAUUGGGAGGAACACCAGUGGCGAAGGCGACUUACUGGGCCGUAACUGACGCUGAGGCGCGAAAGCGUGGGGAGCGAACAGGAUUAGAUACCCUGGUAGUCCACGCGGUAAACGAUGAAUGCUAGGUGUUGCGGGUAUCGACCCCUGCAGUGCCGGAGUAAGCACAAUAAGCAUUCCGCCUGGGGAGUACGGCCGCAAGGUUGAAACUCAAAUGAAUUGACGGGG
rnacentral:rRNA from 1 species